GGACAGCAGCAGGGCUGAAGAGUACCUGCGUCAGGGCCUGGCGUACCUAGAGGACCCCGAGGCCUCUGUGCGAGAGGCGGCCAUCCGGUUCAUCGGAGUGGCCACGCGGCACCUGAGGAACCGAACCACAGACACACUGGAUGAGAUCUGCAGCGCCCUUCAGCCCUUGACGAAAGACAGCAAUGAGUUCGUCUCUUCCCUGGCCCAACAGACAAUCUACGUUCUGAAGGCUUUAGGACCAACACCACCGCCUCGCUUCAGUCUAGAAUCACUGCUCUUCUGGCACCGCCGUCCACAUCCAUGAAGAGCUUCCAACACUCCCAGCCUGCAGGCGCUGUCCGAGACACCUGAUCUGCCAGAAAAAUGGGAGCUUCUGGUGCCGAACAUGAUGGAGCUCGUGUGUCUCGGCAGCAAAGACUUCUGGACGAGAGGUUGUGAUGAUGCCUAAAAACCGGAUGUGUCAAUAUCUGAAGAAGACAAAGGCCAGCCCCGCCACUGAGGAUCCGGUGGAGAACCUCCCGCGCUUCCUCGACAUGGAGAGUGCGAGUUCUUCAUCUACCGCUUCAAAGACCACCUGGGCUCAGAGGUGGUGAGGAUCGAAAACAAAUUGAAGGUGUCUCUACGGAGUGCACUGGGGCCGCUGCUCAUUUGCACAAGUGACCAACCCCGAGUGUGGGCAAG